CCUACGGGAGGCAGCAGUGAGGAAUAUUGGUCAAUGGGCGCGAGCCUGAACCAGCCAAGUAGCGUGAAGGCUGACUGCCCUACGGGUUGUAAACUUCUUUUAUAAAGGAAUAAUGUGAGGCACGUGUGCCUUUUUGUAUGUACUUUAUGAAUAAGCAUCGGCUAACUCCGUGCCAGCAGCCGCGGUAAUACGGAGGAUCCGAGCGUUAUCCGGAUUUAUUGGGUUUAAAGGGAGCGUAGAUGGGUUGUUAAGUUAGUUGUGAAAGCUUGCGGGUUAACCGUAAAAUUGCAAUUGAUACUGGCAGUCUUGAGUUCAGUCGAGGUAGGCGGAAUUAGUGGUGUAGCGGUGAAAUGCUUAGAUAUCACGAAGAACUCCGAUUGCGAAGGCAGCUUACUAAACUGCCACUGACAUUGAUGCUCGAAAGUGUGGGUAGCAAACAGGAUUAGAUACCCGUGUAGUC
rnacentral:rRNA from 1 species